rnacentral:rRNA from 1 species
CCUACGGGUGGCAGCAGUAGGGAAUAUUGCUCAAUGGAGGAAACCCUGAAGCAGCAACGCCGCGUGGAGGAUGAAGGUUUUCGGAUUGUAAACUUCUUUUGUUAGAGAAGAGAAUGACGGUAUCUAACGAAUAAGCACCGGCUAACUCCGUGCCAGCAGCCGCGGUAAUACGGAGGGUGCAAGCGUUACCCGGAAUCACUGGGCGUAAAGGGCGCGUAGGCGGGAUAGCAAGUCAGAUGUGAAAUCCUAUGGCUUAACCAUAGAACUGCAUUUGAAACUGUUAUUCUAGAGUAUGGGAGAGGUAGGUGGAAUUCUUGGUGUAGGGGUGAAAUCCGUAGAGAUCAAGAGGAAUACUCAUUGCGAAGGCGACCUGCUAGAACAUAACUGACGCUGAUGCGCGAAAGCGUGGGGAGCAAACAGGAUUAGAUACCCUUGUAGUC